CAAAAGCUAUUCUGGAGAAAUCAGAAGGGAAGGUUCGGUUAACAGGUCUAGGUGCUCGUGACAGUCUUCGGCUUGAGGCUGGUUUGUGCUUAUACGGUAAUGAUAUGGAGCAGCACAUAACACCUGUAGAAGCAGGGCUGACAUGGGCCAUAGGGAAGAGAAGAAGGGCAGAAGGAGGUUUCCUUGGUGCUGAGGUAAUACUAAAACAAAUUGAAGAAGGUCCUAAAAUCAGGCGAGUUGGCUUUUUCUCUUCAGGCCCACCCCCUAGAAGUCACAGUGAGAUUCAAGAUUCAAAUGGACAAAAUAUUGGGGAAAUCACCAGUGGUGGUUUUAGCCCUUGUCUUAAGAAGAACAUAGCAAUGGGAUACGUAAAAACGGGUAACC
rnacentral:lncRNA from 1 species